GCUGCAUGGCUGUCGUCAGCUCGUGUCGUGAGAUGUUGGGUUAAGUCCCGCAACGAGCGCAACCCUUGCCUUUAGUUGCCAGCAGUUCGGCUGGGCACUCUAAAGGGACUGCCGGUGUUAAACCGGAGGAAGGUGGGGGAUGACGUCAAGUCCUCAUGGCCUUUAUGACCAGGGCUACACACGUACUACAAUGGCCGAUACAAAGGGCAGCGACACUGCGAGGUAGAAGCCAAUCCCGUAAAAUCGGUCUCAGUCCGGAUUGGAGUCUGCAACUCGACUCCAUGAAGUUGGAAUCGCUAGUAAUCGUGGAUCAGCAUGCCACGGUGAAUACGUUCCCGGGCCUU
rnacentral:rRNA from 1 species